AGUUUCCCCAGAAUGAGCGACCUUGUAAAACUGAAGAACAACUAGCUUCACCUUCCUAUGCUUGUGCUUAAUCUUCUUCAGCUUGGUGUAGGUCUUCUUCUUACGCUUCUCGGCUCCACCACGGAGACGGAGAACAAGGUGGAGUGUGGAUUCCUUCUAGAUGUUGUAGUCAGUAAGAGUGCGGCCGUCUUCUAGCUGUUUGCCGGCGAAGAUCAGUCGUUGUUGGUCCGGUGGGAUUCCUUCCUUAUCUUGGAUCUUUGCUUUGACAUUGUUGAUGGUGUCGGAAGACUCGACCUCGAGGGUGAUGGUUUUCCCCGUCAGGGUUUUGGCGAAGAUCUGCAUCUGGAUUAGGUUUUGCGCCGGAAGAGAUGGAAAUUGGGGACGCAAGGGUUUGUGACGGCGGACGAAGAAACGAAAGGUGGUGGUCCGGUAGAAUGGAUUUGAUCGGAGGUGAAGAAGGGUGAUAUUGUUGAGUUGUGGUGGUGGAGGGUGAGUGGUCGAUUUGUUAGAAGGAGAAGAAGAUGAAGCUGCCGGCGAUGAUGCCUCCCGUCUCUAGAUAAGCCUCCUUCUUCUAUUUCGUUUUUUAGGGUUUUGAUAAAAAAAAGAGCUUUGCUGCGUUUAUGUUGUUCUUGAUUUUGGGUUUUGAAAAAUAGCUUUUGCUGCGUUUAUGGUUGUUCUUGCUGUUGUGUUUAGAGUUUCUUUUUGAAAAAAUCUCUUACUGUUGAUCUGUUCUUUAGGCUUUUUGAGAAAAAGUUGUUUUUUCUGUUGUUGUGGUUUUGGCUUUUUGAGAAGAAAUCUCUUACUGUGUUGUGUCUCUUUGGAGUUAACAGAGAAAAAAAACUUUGAAAAUUUCUUCUAGAUUUUAUAAAACGUGUUUCUGUUAAUUAGUUUUGUGGUUUAUAUACAUGAAUGUUGGUUUCUGUGAGAUAACUUGUUGGAUCCUAUUUCCAGAUUUUGUGGGAUGAUUUACCUAUGGAUUUAAAGUUGUUUAUUUGGAUACUGCAGUGUGUUUCUGAGCUCUUCCUUUGAUUGAUUCAUUGCGUAACAUAUUAAUCUACUCUUUCUAUUAAUUAUUUUCCAGAUUUUUAAGUGCUUAUUUGAUAAGCUGUUUUUAAUUUUGAAUUGGUUUUGCAGGUGAAGUGAUGUUGAUGCUAAUUGAUUGAAAAAAGGGGGGUUGUUAUUCAACAGGUUUUGGAAAAGUUCUGAAGAUCUGGUUUUGAAUUGGGAACUUCCAAAAGAGCUUUUGGAAGAGUCGGUGAAAUUUGCUUCAAACUGCUGUGUUUACCGCUUAUUUUAAUUUUUUUUAUAAAAUUAUUUCUGAUGUAACAGAGACUUUUUGGAUUAUGAACUUAGGGAUUGCUUGUAACAUGUACAAACUUAAUUUGGAAUUUCUCUUUUUGGACAAUUAUGUAAUUGUUUUGGAUUAAUUUUUUUAUAAAAUUAUUUAUGAUGUAACAGAGACUUUUUGGAUUAUGAACUUAGGGAUUGCUUGUAACAUGUACAAACUUAAUUUGGAAUUUCUCUUUUUGGACAA